rnacentral:tRNA from 2 species
GGGGGUGUAGCUCAGCUGGGAGAGUGUCCCCUUGGCGUGGGGAAGGUCGUGGGUUCGAAUCCCAUCACCUCCA